rnacentral:rRNA from 1 species
UACAGAGGUCUCAAGCGUUGUUCGGAUUCAUUGGGCGUAAAGGGUGCGUAGGUGGCGCCGUAAGUCGGGUGUGAAAUUUCGGAGCUUAACUCCGAAACUGCAUUCGAUACUGCGGUGCUUGAGGACUGGAGAGGAGACUGGAAUUCAUGGUGUAGCAGUGAAAUGCGUAGAGAUCAUGAGGAAGACCAGUGGCGAAGGCGGGGCUCUGGACAGUUCCUGACACUGAGGCACGAAGGCCAGGGGAGCAAACGGG